rnacentral:rRNA from 1 species
AGCAGCCGCGGUAAUUCCAGCUCCAAUAGCGUAUAUUAAAGUUGUUGCAGUUAAAAAGCUCGUAGUUGAACUUCGGGGUUUACCCAUUGGUCAGGCUUAAUUGUCUGUACUGGUGAGAUAAAUCUCUACCUUCUGAGGAACUUUCAUGCCAUUUAUUUGGUGUGAUGGGAAAUCAGGACUGUUACUUUGAAAAAUUAGAGUGUUUAAAGCAGGCUAACGUCUGAAUACAUUAGCAUGGAAUAAUGAAAUAGGACGGACUGAUUCUAUUUCGUUGGUUUCUAGGAUCACCGUAAUGAUUAAUAGGGAUAGUUGGGGGCAUUAGUAUUCAAUUGUCAGAGGUGAAAUUCUUGGAUUUAUUGAAGACUAACUACUGCGAAAGCAUUUGCCAAGGAUGUUUUCAUUAAUCAAGAACGAAAGUUAGGGGAUCGAAGACGAUCAGAUACCGUCGUAGUCUUAACCAUAAACUAUGCCGA